UGAUAGACGUAGGCAUUGGCAUGGUAACGUUAGAUACACAGAAGAGGAGAGCGAGUGUAACGUUACAACCAAGACAGUCAAAAGCAACCCCGGAGUUUUAAAACUCAACCAGAGUCAGUGAUGACUGAUGAGUUAUAGAAUAAGGUUACAGUGCUAACGUUAGUUAGUAGCGUUAACGUUACUAGUAAGUGGAAACGCACAAGGAAGAUAACGUUAAUGUUUCAGAGGCUAUGCUACAGUAGGCUAACAGUAGCCAUUAGCAACUGGAUGCUGUGUUGUCAUAUAUAAUAUUAUGAACUGAACUGAACUUCAUUUGUCAUUUUUAUGCGCAUGUCUCAGUGAACACAAGGACGCAGCAGUCCCUCACUCCUCGGCGAGUGGAUCUCCACAGUCAGAUGUAAUCCAUUUUUGUGUCCAGCGAGCGGAUGUUCUCCAGAAGGCCACUGGGAACAGCUGGUUUGAUGGGGUUAGCUUUUAGCCAAGAGCUAACCCCUCCGCGCUCCCCCUGCUCCCGUGUCCUGUCGCAGCGCUGCCCGGUGUUACUUAAAAUCUAUUUUGACCUCACUCAGACAGUCACCACUGUCUUCACCUUGAAUGAUGCCAUACUACUACCUAUCCUCGAGACCUUAUAUCAACAAAGUCACGUGACUGACCUUAGGAGGCUUGACUCGUAGUCUGUUAGAGUAUCCAAGUGACACUGCCUCCUCCUCUUUGCCUUACUCGCCUCAUCCGAGACCGUGCCUUUCCAGGUGAGGACUGCUCCAGAGUGAGCUUGGUAGCGGCUAGCAGCAGCGCUGGGUCAACGUGGCGGCACCAGCACCUCUGGGUGUGGCUGUGUUUUCAGCUGCUGCUGGACGGAGUUGUGACGGUGUGGUGUCCUCCGUUCUUCAAGACCCUGAUGGUAUGGUAUGGUAUCCAAGGUGAAGACCAUGGUGACGGUCUGAGUGAGGUCGAAAUAGAUCGUAAGUUAUACCUAUAACUAUGGAUCUAUGAGACUGAACGAUGAUCGUCACCAUUCUCUUGUCGUGCAGAACAGGCUGAGGCUUUCCAGGCAAGAGGAGGAGGCAGUGUCACCCGGAUACUCUUAUAGACUACGAGUCAAGCCUCCUAAGGGCAGGAUGGGUUGAUCCAUUAUGCAUCUGCUGGCCUUUCUGACCUGUCAUGUCCCAGGUAUGGCACUGUAUGUUCAUCAGCUUUUCAUCAACACACCAUGGCUGCUGACACCUGUUCUGAGACAGGAUCAUCAGAUGAGAAGAGAAGGGCAGUACACUGUUCCCUCAAAUCACAACUGCCCCUGGAUUGUGUGGUUGUGUUGCUGCCGUGGUCCUGCCUGAUGCCUCCUACUACUGCUGUUAUUAUUCAUCAUGCUUCUACUAUUAUUAUACACAUAUGAUUAUUGUCACAUACAUAUACAAACAUAUAUUAAAAUAUACUCA